GACGAACGCUGGCGGCGUGCUUAACACAUGCAAGUCGAACGAUGAAGCCUAGCUUGCUAGGUGGAUUAGUGGCGAACGGGUGAGUAAUACGUGAGUAACCUACCUUUAACUCUGGGAUAAGCCUGGGAAACUGGGUCUAAUACCGGAUACGACCAAUCUCCGCAUGGGGUGUUGGUGGAAAGCGUUAUGUAGUGGUUAUAGAUGGGCUCACGGCCUAUCAGCUUGUUGGUGAGGUAACGGCUCACCAAGGCGACGACGGGUAGCCGGCCUGAGAGGGUGACCGGCCACACUGGGACUGAGACACGGCCCAGACUCCUACGGGAGGCAGCAGUGGGGAAUAUUGCACAAUGGGCGCAAGCCUGAUGCAGCGACGCCGCGUGAGGGAUGACGGCCUUCGGGUUGUAAACCUCUGUUAGCAGGGAAGAAGAGAGAUUGACGGUACCUGCAGAGAAAGCGCCGGCUAACUACGUGCCAGCAGCCGCGGUAAUACGUAGGGCGCGAGCGUUGUCCGGAAUUAUUGGGCGUAAAGAGCUUGUAGGCGGUUUGUCGCGUCUGCUGUGAAGGCCGGGGCUUAACCCCGUGUAUUGCAGUGGGUACGGGCAGACUAGAGUGCAGUAGGGGAGACUGGAAUUCCUGGUGUAGCGGUGGAAUGCGCAGAUAUCAGGAGGAACACCGAUGGCGAAGGCAGGUCUCUGGGCUGUAACUGACGCUGAGAAGCGAAAGCAUGGGGAGCGAACAGGAUUAGAUACCCUGGUAGUCCAUGCCGUAAACGUUGGGCACUAGGUGUGGGGGACAUUCCACGUUUUCCGCGCCGUAGCUAACGCAUUAAGUGCCCCGCCUGGGGAGUACGGCCGCAAGGCUAAAACUCAAAGAAAUUGACGGGGGCCCGCACAAGCGGCGGAGCAUGCGGAUUAAUUCGAUGCAACGCGAAGAACCUUACCAAGGCUUGACAUAUACUGGACCGCAUCAGAGAUGGUGUUUCCCUUCGGGGCUGGUAUACAGGUGGUGCAUGGUUGUCGUCAGCUCGCGUCGUGAGAUGUUGGGUUAAGUCCCGCAACGAGCGCAACCCUCGUUCUAUGUUGCCAGCACGUUAUGGUGGGGACUCAUAGGAGACUGCCGGGGUCAACUCGGAGGAAGGUGGGGAUGACGUCAAAUCAUCAUGCCCCUUAUGUCUUGGGCUUCACGCAUGCUACAAUGGCCGGUACAGAGGGUUGCGAUACUGUGAGGUGGAGCUAAUCCCUAAAAGCCGGUCUCAGUUCGGAUUGGGGUCCGCAACUCGACCCCAUGAAGUCGGAGUCGCUAGUAAUCGCAGAUCAGCAACGCCGCGGUGAAUACGUUCCCGGGCCU
rnacentral:rRNA from 1 species